GUGGGGAAUAUUGGACAAUGGGCGAAAGCCUGAUCCAGCCAUGCCGCGUGUGUGAAGAAGGUCUUCGGAUUGUAAAGCACUUUAAGUUGGGAGGAAGGGCAGUAAGUUAAUACCUUGCUGUUUUGACGUUACCGACAGAAUAAGCACCGGCUAACUUCGUGCCAGCAGCCGCGGUAAUACGAAGGGUGCAAGCGUUAAUCGGAAUUACUGGGCGUAAAGCGCGCGUAGGUGGUUUUGUAAGUUGGAGGUGAAAUCCCCGGGCUCAACCUGGGAACUGCCUCCAAAACUGCAUGACUAGAGGACGGUAGAGGGUAGUGGAAUUUCCUGUGUAGCGGUGAAAUGCGUAGAUAUAGGGAGGAACACCAGUGGCGAAGGCGACUACCUGGACUGAUACUGACACUGAGGUGCGAAAGCGUGGUGAGCAAACAGGAUUAGAAACCCGAGUAGUCC
rnacentral:rRNA from 1 species